rnacentral:pre_miRNA from 1 species
AUAAUACUCCCUCCGUCCGAAAUUACUUGUCAUCAAAAUGGAUGUGUCUAGAACUAAAAUACAUCUAGAUACAUCCAUUUCAAUGACAAGUAUUUUCAGACAGAGGGAGUAGUAG